AUCAAUCCUUGGCCUGCUCCACAAAAAUAACCUACUAUCCAGACCCUGUGUUCACCACCUUCUCAUCUAUGAGGACAAGGGAUGGGUCUCAAAUUUUUCUACAGAAAAAGGCAGAUAAACUAGAGAUGACAGCAGCAGAGUUGUUAGUGUGGGGUAUUGAAGACGGAAAGAAAUACCCUUGCAUCAUGAAAGAGAAAAAAACUGACAACCAGACUGACUUUUUCACCUGUGACAUACAAAGCACAUCCAGCUUUACAUUUCAGCACAUAGAGAUAAAGUAUGGUGGCCAGACAGUGCUGCUAAGUAAUCUGCCUUUAGUUCAUCAGGUCCUUCUGAUAGUGCGUUUGAUGCUGAUACCUUGUGUCAUA